CGUAGAGAUUCCUUAGUCGUAAAACUGCUUUUGUUUGUGUUAGUUCCUGGGGGCUCCUAAUCUUAUCAGCACCAGCCCCCUUUCUUUUGUUUUGUGUUAAUAAAAGGCAAGUUCUACUGCAGAGCUUCAGAACACAUGGUGAGCUGUUCAGAGGAGCAAUUUGCUGUGUCUUCUCCUUUUGCAAAAGCUUGCCUUAAAAUUCAUGUACGUUGAG